AAUGAACGCUGGCGGCAGGCCUAAUACAUGCAAGUCGAACGAAUGGCGGACUGGCGAGUAAUGUCUGGGAAAGUGCCUGAUGUACGGGGAUAAGUACGGGAAACGUUAGCUAAUACCGCUUACCACUAGUUGUGCUCAGAUGGGAUUGGCUAGCUGGUGGGGUAACGGCUAACCAAGGCGACGAUCCCUAGCUGGUCUGAGAGGAUGACCGGCCACACUGUGACUGAGACACGGUCCAGACUCCUACGGGAGGCAGCAGUGGGGAAUAUUGCACAAUGGACGCAAGCCUGAUGCAGCCAUGCCGCGUGUAUGAAGAAGGCCUUCGGGUUGUAAAGUACUUUCAGCGGGGAGGCGUUACCCAACGAAGAAGCACCGGCUAACUACGUGCCAGCAGCCGCGGUAAUAC
rnacentral:rRNA from 1 species